UAAUACGAAGGUGGCGAGCGUUGUUCGGAUUCACUGGGCAUAAAGGGCGCGUAGGCGGUGCCGUAAGCGGCGUGUGAAAUCCCAGGGCUCAACCCUGGGGCUGCGCGCCGGACUGCGGUGCUUGAGUGCGGGAGGGGGGUGUGGAACUCUAGGUGGAGCGGUGAAAUGCGUAGAUAUCUAGAGGAACACCGGUGGCGAAAGCGACACCCUGGCCCGCAACUGACGCUGAGGCGCGAAAGCGUGGGUAGCAAACAGG
rnacentral:rRNA from 1 species